rnacentral:lncRNA from 1 species
CCUUCCAUUCUCUAUUUUCACUAUCUGUUUUCAAGGUCCCAACUGAUUUAAGCAUCAGAGGAUCCUAAACUGAAAGAUAUCCUAUGGUUUUAGGACUUAUUUUGCAGGUCCCUUCAUGGACUUCAUCGACUUAACCCCUAUCAGCUCUCUAGCUUAGUCCAAGAUCGAUCUUUGUCAUCUUUCUCUAGAGCUUUACAGUAAUAGAUUGACGUUAAAAGAAAGGUCCAGCCA